rnacentral:rRNA from 1 species
AUUUGUCUGGUUAAUUCCGAUAACGAACGAGACCUUAACCUGCUAAUUAGAUCUUGUUAUCUUAUAACUUGUAUCUUCUUAGAGGGACUAUGUAAAACAAAUACAUGGAAGUUUGAGGCAAUAACAGGUCAGUGAUGCCCUUAUAUGUCCUGGGCUGCACGCGUGCUACACUGAUGUAUACAACAAGUGCCUAACCAGACAUGGUAUGGCAAUCUCGAAUAUGCAUCGUGAUGGGGAUAGAUCUUUGCAAUUAUAGAUCUUGAACGAGGAAUUCCUAGUAAGUGCAAGUCAUCAUCUUGCAUUGAUUAUGUCCCUGCCCUUUGUACACACCGCCCGUCGCUCCUACCGAUACCGGGUGAUCCGGUGAACCUUUUGGACCUGUAAGGGGAAGAUAAGUAAACCAUAUCACCUAGAGGAAGGAGAAGUCGUAACAAGGUUUCCGUAGGUGAACCUGCRGAAGGAUCA